rnacentral:tRNA from 1 species
CGGGGAGUGGCGCAGCGGUAGCGCACCUGCUUUGGGGGCAGGCGGUCGGCGGUUCGAAUCCGCCCUCCCCGA